AUGGGAGUGGGAGAAACAAGAUGGUGGCAGCCACUAACUGGCUCUAGCCUCCCACUAGACUGUCCAGGGCAGUCGAACCUCCAUCUGGCUUACAUCUGGAUGUAGUCAAAGGAGACAAGCUAAUUGAGAAACUGAUUAUUGAUGAGAAGAAAUAUCACUUAUUUGGGAGAACCCCUGAUUUGUGUGACAUUACCAUUGACCACCAGUCUUGCCCUCGAGUCCACGCUGCCUUGGUCUACCACUAGCAUCGGAAGAGAGUUUUCCUGAUAGAUCUCAACAGUACACGUGGCACUUUCUUAGGUCACAUUCGGCUGGAAACUCACAAACUCCAGCAAAUCCCCAUCACUUCCACAGUCUCAUUUGGCGCAUCCACAAGAGCAUGCACGCUGCGGAAGAAGCCUCAGACAUUGCCAUCAGCUGUGAAAGGAGAUGAGAAGAUGGGUGGAAAGGACGAUGAACUCAAGGGCUUACUGGGGCUUCCAGAAGAGGAAACAGAGCUGGAUAACCUGACAGAGUUCAACACUGCCCACCACAAGCAGAUUUCAACCCUCACCAUUGAGGAGGGAAAUAUCGACAUCCAGAGACCAAAGAGAAAGAGGAAGAACUCCCGAGUGACAGUUCAAUAAGGAUGAUGAAAUCAUAAACCCAGCGGAGGUGGACCCCUCGGUUGGUCACUUCUGGAACAUGGUACAAAUGGCAGUGGUCCCGGUAAAGAAGAAGCAGGUGGAGGGCCACGGCUCCCUGGGCCUGCAGGAGCCUUGAAGCAGACGCAUGCAGAACUUUGUCUUCAGCCGAGGACUAUAUGGGGGCUUGCCCCCCACGCACAGCGAAGCAGACUCCCAGCCACACGGCAUCCACGGGAUGGCGCUCAUCAGGGCCUUGCCCAGGCCGUACCGAACCUUGCUCCUGAGGUGGACUUGACUCCUGUUGUGCCAUCCGCAGUGAACAUGAACCCCACACCAAACCCUGCUGUGUAUAAUCUGAAAGCCAUAAACAAGUCCAAGAAGAAGAAAUAUGCAAAAGAGGCGUUGCCGGGCAAGAAGCCCACCCCUUCCUUGCUGAUUUGAUCGUGGUGAUUGCAGAGAAGGG